rnacentral:rRNA from 1 species
CUCCUGACUGACCGAUAGUGAACCAGUACCGUGAGGGAAAGGCGAAAAGAACCCCGGCGAGGGGAGUGAAAAAGAACCUGAAACCGUGUACGUACAAGCAGUGGGAGCACGCUUAGGCGUGUGACUGCGUACCUUUUGUAUAAUGGGUCAGCGACUUAUAUUCUGUAGCAAGGUUAACCGAAUAGGGGAGCCGAAGGGAAACCGAGUCUUAACUGGGCGUUAAGUUGCAGGGUAUAGACCCGAAACCCGGUGAUCUAGCCAUGGGCAGGUUGAAGGUUGGGUAACACUAACUGGAGGACCGAACCGACUAAUGUUGAAAAAUUAGCGGAUGACUUGUGGCUGGGGGUGAAAGGCCAAUCAAACCGGGAGAUAGCUGGUUCUCCCCGAAAGCUAUUUAGGUAGCGCCUCGUGAAUUCAUCUCCGGGGGUAGAGCACUGUUUCGGCAAGGGGGUCAUCCCGACUUACCAACCCGAUGCAAACUGCGAAUACCGGAGAAUGUUAUCACGGGAGACACACGGCGGGUGCUAACGUCCGUCGUGAAGAGGGAAACAACCCAGACCGCCAGCUAAGGUCCCAAAGUCAUGGUUAAGUGGGAAACGAUGUGGGAAGGCCCAGACAGCCAGGAUGUUGGCUUAGAAGCAGCCAUCAUUUAAAGAAAGCGUAAUAGCUCACUGGUCGAGUCGGCCUGCGCGGAAGAUGUAACGGGGCUAAACCAUGCACCGAAGCUGCGGCAGCGACGCUGAUGCGUUGUUGGGUAGGGGAGCGUUCUGUAAGCCUGUGAAGGUGUGCUGUGAGGCAUGCUGGAGGUAUCAGAAGUGCGAAUGCUGACAUAAGUAACGAUAAAGCGGGUGAAAAGCCCGCUCGCCGGAAGACCAAGGGUUCCUGUCCAACGUUAAUCGGGGCAGGGUGAGUCGACCCCUAAGGCGAGGCCGAAAGGCGUAGUCGAUGGGAAACAGGUUAAUAUUCCUGUACUUGGUGUUACUGCGAAGGGGGGACGGAGAAGGCUAUGUUGGCCGGGCGACGGUUGUCCCGGUUUAAGCGUGUAGGCUGGUUUUCCAGGCAAAUCCGGAAAAUCAAGGCUGAGGCGUGAUGACGAGGCACUACGGUGCUGAAGCAACAAAUGCCCUGCUUCCAGGAAAAGCCUCUAAGCAUCAGGUAACAUCAAAUCGUACCCCAAACCGACACAGGUGGUCAGGUAGAGAAUACCAAGGCGCUUGAGAGAACUCGGGUGAAGGAACUAGGCAAAAUGGUGCCGUAACUUCGGGAGAAGGCACGCUGAUAUGUAGGUGAAGCGACUUGCUCGUGGAGCUGAAAUCAGUCGAAGAUACCAGCUGGCUGCAACUGUUUAUUAAAAACACAGCACUGUGCAAACACGAAAGUGGACGUAUACGGUGUGACGCCUGCCCGGUGCCGGAAGGUUAAUUGAUGGGGUCAGCGCAAGCGAAGCUCUUGAUCGAAGCCCCGGUAAACGGCGGCCGUAACUAUAACGGUCCUAAGGUAGCGAAAUUCCUUGUCGGGUAAGUUCCGACCUGCACGAAUGGCGUAAUGAUGGCCAGGCUGUCUCCACCCGAGACUCAGUGAAAUUGAACUCGCUGUGAAGAUGCAGUGUACCCGCGGCAAGACGGAAAGACCCCGUGAACCUUUACUAUAGCUUGACACUGAACAUUGAGCCUUGAUGUGUAGGAUAGGUGGGAGGCUUUGAAGUGUGG